rnacentral:misc_RNA from 1 species
AAAAUGCGAUAAGUAAUGUGAAUUGCAGAAUUCAGUGAAUCAUCGAAUCUUUGAACGCACAUUGCGCCCGCCAGUAUUCUGGCGGGCAUGCCUGUUCGAGCGUCAUUUCAACCCUCAAGCCCCCGGGUUUGGUGUUGGGGAUCCGGCUGCGGUUCUACCGCGUCCCGGCCCCGAAAUCUAGUGGCGGUCUCGCUGCAGCCUCCAUUGCGUAGUAGCUAACACCUCGCAACUGGAACGCGGCGCGGCCAAGCCGUUAAACCCCCAACUUCUGAAUGUUGACCUCGGAUCAGGUAGGAAUACCCGCUGAACUUAAGC